rnacentral:rRNA from 1 species
GUGACCUCAAAUCAGGUAGGACUACCCGCUGAACUUAAGCAUAUCAAUAAGCGGAGGAAAAGAAACUAACAAGGAUUCCCCUAGUAACUGCGAGUGAAGCGGGAAGCUCAAAUUA